GGGGGGACCACCCUCCAACCCUAAAUACUACCCAGUGACCGAUAGCGUAUAGUACUGUGAAGGAAAGGUGAAAAGCACCCCGGGAGGGGAGUGAAAAAGAACCUGAAACCCUGUGCCUACAAGCACCUAGAGCACGUCAAUGUGUGAUAGGGUACUUUUUGUAGAACGGUCCGGCGAGCGAUUGUAUGCAGCAAGGUUAAGGACUUAAGGUCUGGAGCCGAAGCGAAAGCGAGUUUGAAAAGGGCGUUAAGUUGCAUAUAAUGGGCCCGAAACCGGGUGACCUACCCAUGGUCAGGUUGAAGUGGAAGUAAAAUUCCAUGGAGGACCGAACCGACCUCCGUUGAAAAGGCGGCGGAUGAACUGUGGGUAGCGGAGAAAUUCCAAUCGAACCCGGAGAUAGCUGGUUCUCCCCGAAAUAGUUUUAGGACUAGCCUCAAGUUAGAUACCUGGAGGUAAAGCACUGAAUAGCCUAGCGGCCGAGAGGUUAGCGAAGCUUAUCAAACUCAGAAUGCCAGAGUAUUGAUGCUUGGGAGUCAGACAGUGUCAGAUAAAUGUCAUUGUCAAAAGGGAAACAGCCCAGAUCUACAGCUAAGGUCCCAAAGUCAGGUUAAGUGGAAAACGAUGUGAAGAUACGCAGACAACCAGGAUGUUGGCUCAGAAGCAGCCACUCAUUCAAAGAGUGCGUAAUAGCUCACUGGUCGAGCGUCUUUGCGCGGAGAAUUUAACGGGGCUAAACCUGACACCGAAGCUUAGGCAAUACAGCAAUGUAUUGGGUAGGGGAGCGUUGUAUACGCGGUGAAACAGUAGCGCAAGCGGCUGUGGAGUGUAUAGAAGUGAGAAUGCCGGAAUGAGUAGCGCGAAUGCAGUGAGAAUCUGCAUGGCCGAAAGCCUCAGGUUUCUGGAGGAAGGUUCGUCCGCUCCAGGUUAGUCGGGAGCUAAGGUGAGGCCUAACGGCGUAGCCGAUGCACAGACGGUAGAGAUUCCGUCACCACCAAAAGAGUUAAGCACAGGGACACAUUUGAAGUCUCGGAGCCGGGUGUUGGUUCCGGUAGCGAUCGAGGGAAGUUAGUACCGAAGUCCGGGAUGGAAGAUGGCGAGAAAAGCUGUGUGUAUUUCUGCGGUGCCCGUACCGCAAACCGACACAGGUAGGUAGGAAGAAGAUUCUAAGGCCAACGGGAGAAGGGUUGUUAAGGAACUCGGCAAAUUGACCCCGUAACUUCGGGAGAAGGGGUGCUCCAGAGAUGGAGCCGCAGAGAAUCGGCCCAAGCAACUGUUUACCAAAAACACAGGUUUGUGCUAAAUCGAAAGAUGACGUAUACGAGCUGACGCCUGCCCGGUGCUGGAAGGUUAAGAGGAGAUGUGCAAGCAUUGAAUCGAAGCCCCAGUGAACGGCGGCCGUAACUAUAACGGUCCUAAGGUAGCGAAAUUCCUUGUCAGGUAAGUUCUGACCCGCAUGAAAGGCGUAAUGAUUUGGGCACUGUCUC
rnacentral:rRNA from 1 species